UACAGAGGGUGCAAGCGUUACUCGGAAUUACUGGGCGUAAAGCGUGCGUAGACGGUUGCGUAAGUCAGAUGUGAAAGCCCCGGGCUCAACCUGGGAAUUGCAUUUGAGACUGCGUAGCUAGGGUGCGGAAGAGGGAAGCGGAAUUUCCGGUGUAGCGGUGAAAUGCGUAGAUAUCGGAAGGAACACCAGUGGCGAAGGCGGGUCUCUGGGCCGUAACUGACGCUGAGGAGCGAAAGCGUGGGGAGCGAACAGG
rnacentral:rRNA from 1 species